rnacentral:rRNA from 1 species
UAAUGGGAAAUAAAGAGCGUAUGGUGGAUGCCUUGGCUCGAGAGAGGCGAUGAAGGACGCGGCGUGGCGGCGAUACGCUUCGGGGAGGUGCCUAGCAACCUUUGAUCCGAAGAUGUCCGAAUGGGGAAACCCGGUAUGGGAAGACCAUAUCACCUGCUUAGAUUUUUGAGAUUAAAAAGAGCGUGCUUUGCGCUAUAAAAUAAUCUGGAUUGAUGCCAGCAAAGCUUCAGAAUGUGCCCACAUUGAUCUUAAAAAUCUAAGCAGGAGCGCACCCGGGGAAGUAAAACAUUUCAGUACCCGGAGGAAUAGAGACCAAUCGGAAUUCCGUCAGUAGCGGCGAGCGAACGCGGAGAAGCCUAAACUCAACCUAAAUCACAGCGUGUGCGUAAGCGCGCGAUGUGAUUUAGGUUGGGGGUUGCAAGGCGGCAGCUUCGGUUUUACAUCGAGAAGAGUUACAAAACGGUCCGUUAGCUGAAGUAUCUGGGAAGAUACACCCAAGAGGGUAAUAGUCCCGUAAGCGAAAAUGAACCGUCUCUUCUGUUGCCGUUCUUAAGUACUUCGAGACACGAAUAGCUCGGAGGAAUCCGCCGGAACUAACCGGCAAGGCUAAAUACUCAUCGAGACCGAUAGUGAACAAGUACCGCGAGGGAAAGGUGAAAAGCAGCCCGGUGAGGGCAGUGAAAUAGACCUGAAACCAUAUGCUUACAAAGAGUCAGAGGCGUGCGCAGCACCCGAUGUUUGAAUAGCCGGCUAUUUGAAUGUCGCGCGCUGCGCACGCUCAUGGCGUGCCUAUUGAAGAAUGAGCCAACGAGUUGAUCUAUCCCGCGUCAGACUAAGCCCGUUAUUGGGCGGAGUCGCAGGGAAACCGAGCGUGAAUAGCGCGAAAGUGGGCUAGAUCAGACCCGAAGCCAAAGUGAGCUUACCAUGAGCAGGAUGAACCCCGCCGAAAGGCGGGGGGAGGUCCGAACGGGUUAGCCGUGCAAUACUAUCCGAUGACUUGUGGUAAGAAGUGAAAAGCUAAUCGAACUUGGUAAUAGCUGGUUCUCUCCGAAAUAGCUUUUGGGCUAGCGUCAGGCGUUCCUUCCGGGGGUAGAGCACUGGAUGGUCUGGACAGGUCGAAAGGCCGCUAGACCAAUCAAACUCCGAAUACCGGAAGUCAGAGCUUGGCAGUUAGACCGUGAGGGCUAAGCUUCACUGGUCAAAAGGGAAACAGCCCUGGAUCUCAAGUUAAGGUCCCUAAAUCUAUGCUCAGUGCACUUAAGGAGGUGGAAUUUCUCCGACAAUGAGGAUGUAGGCUUAGAAGCAGCCAUCAUUCAAAGAAAGCGUAACAGCUCACUCAUCGAGAGAUUCUGCACCGAAGAUGAUCGGGGCUAAGCAUAGUACCGAAACUGAGGGCUUGCGCGCUUCAUUGAGGAUUUUGUUCUUUUAUAUUCUUGCCGGAAACCUAAUAGCAUAAUGGACAAUGCGCCGGGCCCUGAACCCGGAGAAGUGGGCUCGAACCCCAUGUGGUUUCCGGCAAGAGUAUGCUUAUGGGGUAAACGCGGAAACGUUUACCUCCUCAAUGAAGCGCGCAAGCGGUAGGAGAGUUUUCGCAUCUGCGAUGAAGGCGAAGGGGUGACCCGCGCUGGAGCGUUGCGAAGUAAGAAUGUUGGCACAAGUAACCACAAUAGGGGUGAGAAACCCCUACGCCGAAAGACCAAGGUUUCCCUCUCAAUGAUUGUCAGAGAGGGGUUAGUCGGGCCUAAGGGGAUGGCGAACGCCGUACCCGAUGGACACAUGGUUAAUAUUCCAUGACCCGUGCUCUUUUCGAUGGAGCGACGGAGGAAACAAGCGGAAGCAUUUUAUUGGAUUAGUGUUGCUGGCGCAAGGAGCGCCGCCCAGGAAAAUCCGGGCGGCUGGUUUGAUCCGAGCUUCGCGCGCCGGCAAGAUCUUUCUGCUUCGGCGGAAGGAAAUUCCCGCGACGAGCCUCCCGAGAAAAACUUCUAAGAUUAAAAGAGCCCGGCCCGUACCGCAAACCGACACAGGUGGUCACGUCGAGAAGACGAAGGCGAACGAGUGAAGGUUCUCCAAGGAACUCGGCAAAAAAGCAGCCGUAACUUAGGGAUAAGGCUUGCCGUGCGAAGCACGCAGUUUGUAAAGUCCGUAAAGUCCGAAGUCUCCGCAAGGUCGGAAGAAUUUCUCCGCCCUCGCGGCCCUCGCGGGCUUUCUCCUUUAUGAUUUGCGCGCUUCGCGCGGCCGCAGCUAAAGUAUGCUUGGUAACUGUUUAUCAAAAACACAGCUCCCUGCGAACUCGUAAGAGGAUGUAUAGGGGGUGACACUUGACCAAUGCCAGAAGGUCAAAUAACGGCGUCGCGUGAUCGCAAGAUUACGGGGUGACUGUUAUAAGCCCUGGUGAAUGUCGGCGAUAACUAUAAUCGUCCUAAGGUAGCGAAGUUCCUUGUCGGGUAAGUUCCGACGCGCACGAAUAGUGUAAUGACUGAGCAACUGUCUCGGAGAACAGCUCGGUGAAAAUACAAUACCGGUGAAGAUGCCGGUUACCUGCAGCUAGACGAAAAGACCCCAGAAGCUUUACUACAACUUGGUAUUGCCUGUAUGUUUUUGCUGCGUAGCGUAGAUGGGAGGAUUUGAAGUGCCGCUUUCGGGCGGCAUGGAUCCGCCGAUGAAACACCAUUCUUCAAAAAUAUACAUGCUAACCGCGGUGGCAAAAACGCCGCGAAACAGUACCUGGCGGGUAGUUUUAGUGGGGCGCUAUCCUUCUAAAAAGUAACGAAGGAGUCCAUUAAGGUUCCCUAGGCGCGAAUGGAAACCGUGCCGAUAGCGCAAUGGCAUAAGGGAGCUUGACUGUAAGGCGUACUUGCCGAACAGGCGCGAAAGCGGGGCAUAGUGAACCGACGGUUCGUGUUAGACGCGGCCGGAGAUUAUCGGAUAAAAGCUACUCUGGGGAUAACAGGCUAGUUCCGCCUAAGAGUCCAUAUCGACGGCGGAGUUCGGCACCUCGAUGUCGGCUCAACAUAUCCUGGGGGUGGAGAAGCUCCCAAGGGUUUGGCUGUUCGCCAAUUAAAAUGUUACGUGAGCUGGGUUCAAACCGUCGCGAGACAGGUUGGUCUCCUAUCUGCUGCAGGCGUUGAUUCUUGAGAAGAUU